rnacentral:rRNA from 1 species
GGUGUAGGCGGCCAUGCAAGUCAGAUGUGAAAUCCCUCGGCUUAACCGAGGAAGUGCAUCUGAAACUGCUUGGCUUGAGUAUGGGAGAGGAAGGCGGAAUUCCCGGUGUAGCGGUGACAUGCGUAGAUAUCGGGAGGAACACCUGUGGCGAAGGCGGCCUUCUGGCCCAAUACUGACGCUGAGACCCGAAAGCGUGGGGAGCAAACAGGAUUAGAUACCCUGGUAGUCCACGCCGUAAACGUUGGGUACUAGGUGUGGGAGGUUUAAUACCUUCUGUGCCGCAGCUAACGCAUUAAGUACCCCGCUGGGGAGUACGGUCGCAAGAUUAAA